ACCAAAAUUUAUUGUCAUUUAGUAGUGAAAAAAAGCCGUUGAAGUACACCCUCUGUCAAUCUACCUGCGAGAGAGAACGUGUGAAAUAUGGACGUCAAAAGCUGCGCAAAUUGCCCGGAGAACAUGCAAGUCGGACGAAAUUUGCUUGAAGCUGACUCCGAACAAUCUGCAAAAUUCAAAAGCCGUAUUGUUUGUGUCGUCCCCGGAUGUAAGCAGAGAUAUCGCCCCGGAAUUUCUUUUCAUGCCUUCCCUCCGAAAACGGACAAAUCGCGGUAUCUAGACUGGAUCCAACGACUACGGCUAAAGAUAGAACCUACAAAAACCUCCCGUAUUAGUAGCCUCCAUUUUACCGUGUCGAACUUCUACUCUCCAACAACAAGCCGUGCCACUGAUCGCUUAAUUCUUAGGCCAUCAGCAGUUCCCGACUUGAAUUUGCCACAACCUCCCAUCAGCGAAGCCAGGAAAAGACUUAUUGAGGGCCGUGCUGAACGUGCUGCAAACCGUGCCAAAGUUGGGGCAGCGAUGGACCAGAGACAUGAUACACCAAACCUUUCAG